rnacentral:rRNA from 1 species
CAUCCUGCCCAGUGAUAUUUCAACGGCCGCAGUACCCUGACUGUGCGAAGGUAGCAUAAUCAUUUGCCUUUUAAUUGGAGGCUAGUAUGAAUGGACACACGAAAGUAUUUCUGUCUCUUUUAUAUCAAUAAAAAUUGAAUUAUAGGUGAAGAUGCCUAUAUAUUUUUAAAGGACAAAAAGACCCUAUUGAGCUUUAUUUCUUAUUAAUUAAAAAAGAAAUACCACAAAUUUUUAUUAAAAGGAGAUUCUGUUGGGGCGACAAAGGAACACAAAAAACUUCCAAAAAAAAAAGAAAACACUUCUAUUCAAUGAUCCUUAAUAGCUAAAGAAACCAGCUACCAUAGGGAUAACAGGCUAAUCAUUUUAAAGAGUUCAUAUUGAUAAAAUGGGUUGGCACCUCGAUGUUGGCUUAGGGUAUCCUAUAAGUGCAGAAGCUUAUAAAGGU